UCCUGCAAAAGGAAACCACCUCCAAUGAAAAUUUGUAAUAAUUGCCUUGUGCCAAAGAAGAUCUCUCUUCCCCUAUAUGGUGCCUCCAGACGUUUUGGAUUCCAACUCCCAUAAUUCCUGACCACUGUCUAUGAUGGACGGUGCUGAAGGGGGUUGUAGUCCUAAACCUCUGGGGAAGGCUGUUCUACUGAUGCCUUUUAUUGGAGUGAAAAUAAAUGCCCUCGUGAAGCUUGCAACAUGUCCAAAUCCUCUUUCCAAGGUUACAACAUGGGAAUGCUGAGCUACUAAGAAGUAGACUUGACUACAGAGCAGUACUGUUUAGGCUUUACAGUGCCAGAGCCUUCCCUGAAUGCAUUUCUGAAAUGUGAUUUCUGAUGUAGUUGUAAAACUGCUUCUGUGUGGCUGGGGAAAGAGUUAAUCAGUGUGGUUCCAUGUGACAGGUAGAACAAUUAAUGGACCUAAUCACGUGGACUAAUGCGGGUCUUCUUCACAGAGUUGGCACCAUGAAAGGGCACCUAAAUUGUUUGUUCCAAGCAACUGUUUCAGGAAUAUCUUUUAUGUUCCUAAAAGCUAUGCUAGUCAGAGGGACUACAAAGGCUCUCUCAUCCCCAGAAAGAACAAUAGCAAGUGUUUUGGAUAAUUAAAAAGGGAUGUUCUCUAAAAAUGAACAGCUCAGGAAGCUUUAACUUUUGUAUGCAAAAGUUGUACCAUGAGCAAUUGGUGCUAUAUGUAAAAUGGGCUGGAUGUUAUAUAAUAAAUGUUUCUCAAUGCAUUGAAGAUAGGUUCUGCCAAAAAGGAGCUCCACUGGGAGAGAGGUUGGAAUAAAAUAGGGGAUAAGACAGUGGAAAAGUAGAUAGAGCAGAGGAAGUAACACUUUAUCUAAGAACAGCCCUGCUGGGUCAGACCAGGUGCCCAUGUUUUCCAGCAUCCUGUUCUCACAGUGGCCAACCGGAUUGCCAAAUUAUUUAAUGAAUAAAUUAGUAUAGUAUAAUGAAUAAAUUAGUAAAGUACAAACAAAA